rnacentral:rRNA from 1 species
ACGGGGAGGAGAACUAACAAGGAUCCCCUAGUAACGGCGAGUGAAGCGGGAAGAGCUCAAAUUUAAAAUCUGGUAAUCUUUGGUUGCCCGAAUUGUAAUCUAGAGAAGCGUCUUCCGUGCUGGACUGUGUACAAGUUUCCUGGAUACGGAACAUCAUAGAGGGUGAGAAUCCCGUCCUUGACACAGACUCCCAGCACUUUUGUGAUGCGCUCUCGACGAGUCGAGUUGUUUGGGAUUGCAGCUCAAAAUGGGAGGUAAAUUCCUUCUAAAGCUAAAUAUUGGCGAGAGACCGAUAGCGAACAAGUACCGUGAGGGAAAGAUGAAAAGCACUUUGGAAAGAGAGUUAAACAGUACGUGAAAUUGUUAAAAGGGAAACGCUUGAAGUCAGUCGCGUUUGCUUGGACUCAGCCUAACUUCGGUUUGGUGCAUUUCCUUGCAGACGGGCCAGCGUCCAUGUUGUUUACCGGAAAAGGGGUGAUAGAAUGUGGCUCCCUCGGGAGUGUUAUAGCUUUUGCUCGUAUGCGGGGAAUAAUAUGGAGUGGUACAGCACACUUUGGUGGUGCUUGUGCUGGCAUAAUGGCUUUAAACGACCCGUCUUGAAACACGGACCAAGGAGUCUAACAUGUCUGCGAGUGUUUGGGUGGAAAACCCGGGCGCGUAAUGAAAGUGAUGGCUGGGAACCCCUUCUGGGAGGCACCGGCGCCCCGAGCUGACCUUCUGUGACGCAUCGGAGGCAGAGCAUAUAUGUUGGGACCCGAAAGAUGGUGAACUAUGCCUGAAUAGGGCGAAGCCAGAGGAAACUCUGGUGGAGGCUCGUAGCGAUUCUGACGUGCAAAUCGAUCGUCAAAUUUGGGUAUAGGGGCGAAAGACUAAUCGAACCAUCUAGUAGCUGGUUCCUGCCGAGUUCUCCCCUCCCGAAGAA